GUGUCAGCCGCCGCGGUAAUACGGAGGGGGCAAGCGUUGUUCGGAUUUACUGGGCGUAAAGCGCACGUAGGCGGCAGAGCAAGUCAAAGGUGAAAGCCCUCAGCUCAACUGAGGAAUUGCCUUUGAAACUGCUCUGCUUGAGUCCGGGAGGGGGGAGCGGAAUUCCCAGUGUAGCGGUGAAAUGCGUAGAUACUGGGAGGAACACCGGUGGCGAAGGCGGCUCCCUGGACCGGCACUGACGCUGAGGUGCGAAAGCGUGGGUAGCAAACAGGAUUAGAAACCCGGGUAGUCC
rnacentral:rRNA from 1 species